CAUUACCGAGUGAGGGCCCUCUGGGUCCAACCUCCCACCCAUGUUUAUUGUACCUUGUUGCUUCGGCGGGCCCGCCUCACGGCCGCCGGGGGGCUUCUGCCCUCUGGCCCGCGCCCGCCGAAGACACCAUUGAACACUGUCUGAAGAUUGCAGUCUGAGCAAUUAGCUAAAUAAGUUAAAACUUUCAACAACGGAUCUCUUGGUUCCGGCAUCGAUGAAGAACGCAGCGAAAUGCGAUACGUAAUGUGAAUUGCAGAAUUCAGUGAAUCAUCGAGUCUUUGAACGCACAUUGCGCCCCUUGGUAUUCCGGGGGGCAUGCCUGUCCGAGCGUCAUUGCUGCCCUCAAGCACGGCUGUGUGUUGGGCCCCGUCCUCCUUCCCGGGGGACGGGCCCGAAAGGCAGCGGCGGCACCGCGUCCGGUCCUCGAGCGUAUGGGGCUUUGUCACCCGCUCUUGUAGGCCCGGCCGGCGCUUGCCGACAACCAUCAAUCUUUUUUCAGGUUGACCUCGGAUCAGGUAGGGAUACCCGCUGAACUUAAGCAUAUCAAUAAGCGGAGGAAAAGAAACCAACAGGGAUUGCCUCAGUAACGGCGAGUGAAGCGGCAAGAGCUCAAAUUUGAAAGCUGGCCCCCCUCGGGGUCCGCAUUGUAAUUUUGCAGAGGAUGCUUUCGGGAGUGGCCCCCAUCUAAGUG
rnacentral:rRNA from 1 species